AGCUCACGUGCCAUCCCCCGAAGAGCAGGUUCCCUGACAAGCAGCUAUGCCAGAGUCUUGUCAAAGUUGAGCUGCCCGAGUAUGUCCUGGACAUGGGCACUGUCCUUAAGGGUUUCACUGAGAGAAGCACUCUGGAGAUCACCAACCCUGGGCAGAUCCCAGUGUCCUUCCAGGUCGAUGAAUCUGUCCUGCAGGACACAGGUUUCAGCGUGGAC